GCAGAGGAUCUUCCCCCAGACCCUGAACACGCGCAAUUUUGUCUGAUCUCAGAAGCUAAGCAGGGUCAGGCCUGGUUAGUACUCCUAUAGGAGACCUGCUGGGCGGCCCUGAUUUUCACUGGA
rnacentral:rRNA from 1 species